AUUCUUUUAAUAUAAUAAAGUAUAUUUAACUUCCAAUUAAAAAGUCUUAACUUAAGAAAGAAUA
rnacentral:tRNA from 1 species